AUCCAACUGACGAGUCCCAAAUAGGACGAAACGUGCAUCAUCGAU
rnacentral:hammerhead_ribozyme from 1 species